rnacentral:rRNA from 1 species
GAUGAACGCUGGCGGCGUGCCUAAUACAUGCAAGUCGAGCGAAGAGGGGACGGGUGAGUCACACGUGGAUAACCUCCUAUAAGACUGGGAUAACUUCGGGGAACCGGAGCUAAAUCGGAUGCUUAUAGAUGGAUCCGCGCUGAAUUAGCUAGUUGGUACGGUAACGGCUUACCAAGGCAACGAUGCAUAGCAGACCUGAGAGGGUGAUCGGCCACACUGGAACUGAGACACGGUCCAGACUCCUACGGGAGGCAGCAUUAGGGAAUCUGCCGCAAUGGGCGAAAGCAUGACAGAGCAACGCCGCGUGAGUGAUGAAGGUCUUCGGAUCGUAAAACUCUGGAAUUAGUGAAGCGGUACCUAAUCAGAAAGCCACGGCUAACUACGUGCCAGCAGCCGCGGUAAUUC